rnacentral:rRNA from 1 species
UACGGAGGGAGCUAGCGUUGUUCGGAAUUACUGGGCGUAAAGCGCACGUAGGCGGCGAUUCAAGUCAGGGGUGAAAGCCCGGGGCUCAACCCCGGAACUGCCUUUGAAACUAGAUUGCUAGAAUCCUGGAGAGGUUAGUGGAAUUCCGAGUGUAGAGGUGAAAUUCGUAGAUAUUCGGAAGAACACCAGUGGGGAAGGCGACUAACUGGACAGGUAUUGAAGCUGAGGUGCGAAAGCGUGGGGAGCAAACAGG